GUCCGGAUGGCACAGUGGUGAGUGCAUCUGCGCAGUAAGCAGGAGACCUGGGUUCGACUCCCAGUCUGGCACA